rnacentral:rRNA from 1 species
CUCCUGGAAACGGGUGGUAAUGCCGGAUGCUCCGCCCCCUCGCAUGGGGGGUCGGGAAGGCUUUUGCGGAAUGGGAUGGGGUCGCGUCCUAUCAGCUUGUUGGCGGGGCGACGGCCCACCAAGGCUUCGACGGGUAGCCGGCCUGAGAGGGCGACCGGCCACAUUGGGACUGAGAUACGGCCCAGACUCCUACGGGAGGCAGCAGUGGGGAAUAUUGCACAAUGGGGGGAACCCUGAUGCAGCGACGCCGCGUGCGGGAUGGAGGCCUUCGGGUCGUGAACCGCUUUUGAUUGGGAGCAAGCGUGAGUGAGUGUACCUUUCGAAUAAGCACCGGCUAGCUACGUGCCAGCAGCCGCGGUAAUACGUAGGGUGCAAGCGUUGUCCGGAAUCAUUGGGCGUAAAGGGCUCGUAGGCGGUUCGUCGCGUCCGGUGUGAAAGCCCAUCGCUUAACGGUGGGUCUGCGCCGGGUACGGGCGGGCUUGAGUGCGGCAGGGGAGGCUGGAAUUCCCGGUGUAACGGUGGAAUGUGUAGAUAUCGGGAAGAACACC